AAAAACCCUAGUGUUACCUACAUGUGAUGGCACAGUACAAUUUUAUGGGGGUGAAGUUAAUAUAAUUAAACAAUUAAUAAUUAAAUAGCUCCCUUUGUUUACAGUAUUGUUUCAACACUACCUUUACAUUUAUCUAUCAUCGCCACUAAAAUUUGGAAGUACAUGUUCAUUCUAUAGGAAACAAUAUAGUGUUGAAAGAAGCGUAAGUGAAAUUAUAUGACAUCUUCCAAAAGCACAAACAACACUGAAUAGAUUGACAUUGCAAAGAAAUCAACUUUGACUGCAUUUGAAUCAUUUUAUUGGGUAGGAUUAAAAACAUCAGCCAUAUGGUCUCUCUUUGACAAGACGCAAAGCUUGGAGGAGCCUGAAACUGAGGAGGAAGGCAAAUAGACAAAUAAUUAUUUUAGUCAUAGGAUCUAUCAAGCACUUGUACUGGUUUCAGUCCAACUUGUUCACAGCAUUGGUUGAGAUAGAUAAAGUUUAUUUCAAGCAUCAGUAUUUUAUAGAACUUCAGAGUUAUCCAGACAAUUUACUUCUCUGUUUUCAUCAACAGUUGCUGCAUUCACUUUCUGUUUAGGAAUGUUUGGUUCUGUGUAAGAUCCCUUGCCAAGAUCUUUGCUGACACAAGGAAGCACAGUUUUAUUUUGGGGAGAAAAACAAGACAGUAUAGGCCACCGGAGGCUCCGUGGAGAUUAUGCUGCCUAUACCAUCAAGAAGAAUCUGGCCCAAGAGUUCACUUCCAACUGAAAAUGAAUCAGAAAGGACCAAAACGUAUUCUGGAACAGAUACAGGAUAGAUGUUACAUAAAUAUUUGAUAUACAAGUAAAUGUCGAUACAUAAAUAAACAGCUAAUAGAGGUUGCAAUGUUCACCAAACUGAAUUUGUGAAGCAGUUUGUAAGUUUCAGUUCAGAACACAUUUUAGCAAAACUAAAUAAUAAUGAAUGCAGUUGUCAUAGAAUGUCAUUUUUCUACACUUUUAAUGUUGUUCUUUCCAAG
rnacentral:lncRNA from 1 species